rnacentral:rRNA from 1 species
AACGAACGCUGGCGGCGUGCUUAACACAUGCAAGUCGAACGGUGAACGAGGGAGCUUGCUCCCUCCGGAUCAGUGGCGAACGGGUGAGUAACACGUGAGCAAUCUGCCCCGAACUCUGGGAUAAGCGUUGGAAACGACGUCUAAUACCGGAUACGACGCGGGAGGGCAUCCUCUCCGCGUGGAAAGAACUUCGGUUCGGGCUGAGCUCGCGGCCUAUCAGCUUGUUGGUGAGGUAACGGCUCACCAAGGCGACGACGGGUAGCCGGCCUGAGAGGGUGACCGGCCACACUGGGACUGAGACACGGCCCAGACUCCUACGGGAGGCAGCAGUGGGGAAUAUUGCACAAUGGGCGCAAGCCUGAUGCAGCAACGCCGCGUGAGGGACGACGGCCUUCGGGUUGUAAACCUCUUUUAGCAGGGAAGAAGCGAAAGUGACGGUACCUGCAGAAAAAGCACCGGCUAACUACGUG